UACGUAGGGUGCAAGCGUUAAUCGGUAUUACUGGGCGUAAAGCGUGCGCAGGCGGUUGUGCAAGACCGAUGUGAAAUCCCCGGGCUUAACCUGGGAAUGGCAUUGGUGACUGCACGGCUAGAGUGUGUCAGAGGGGGGUAGAAUUCCACGUGUAGCAGUGAAAUGCGUAGAGAUGUGGAGGAAUACCGAUGGCGAAGGCAGCCCCCUGGGAUAACACUGACGCUCAUGCACGAAAGCUCGGGGAGCGAGCGGG
rnacentral:rRNA from 1 species